rnacentral:rRNA from 1 species
UACAGGGGGGGGCAAGCGUUGUUCGGAAUUACUGGGCGUAAAGGGUCUGUAGGUGGCCAACUAAGUCAGACGUGAGAUCCCUCAGCUUAACUGGGGAACUGCGUCUGAUACUGGAUGGCUUGAGUGUGGGAGAGGAAUGCGGAAUUCCAGGUGUAGCGGUGAAAUGCGUAGAUAUCUGGAGGAAUACCGGUGGCGAAGGCGGCAUCCUGGACCGGCAUUGACGCUGAUGAGCGAAAGCGUGGGGGAGCAAACAGGG